CAGGAAAUUCACGCUAAUGGGAACUGACAGGUCCUCAUUCUUUAAGGGUGGGGAAAGAAACCUAAAGCCUGGCCGUCUCCAGAUCCACAAAAAAGAUAGGAAACAAUUCGCCGCGCGUCCUAGACGUGCGCCCCGCGCAAAAAAAAAAGGGGGGGAACAGCCCGAAAUAAACGAGCCAAGCGCACCGGGCUCAUCCUUCCCGCUCCCAAACCUACGGUACUGAAUUAGGGGUCCCCGAUCACAGAAACAGAGAGAAAUAAUGAAAACAAAAAAAUCCUUUUUUUUUUUUUAGUUAAAUAACCAGAGAGGAGGUAUUUUGCCAACGGAAAUGCACGCAAGCAUGGGAUGGAGGGAGCGGGAGCCCUCUACGCCCCGCUAGGGGGACACGCGCCCCCAGGGAAUUCUUUGGCGAUGCCCCAAAGGAUACUCUGCAGGGCGGUGGAAAACCAAAUCUUCAAUUCAAUUCUGAAGUGCGGCUCCCUUGGUUUUCAUCCCGAGCUCGAUAUGAAGUUUAGCGCUGCAAUGUAUCACUUUGUUCCUUGCUUGUAUUGGGGGAGACACGUUUAAUAUUCAGAAGAAGAAUGAAGCCAAUUGCAAGUAGCUUCUGGAAAUGGAGGAAUGGCAGAAAUCAGGACUACUCCCUUCCCAAGCCCAGGUCCAAGUCUUUACCCUACUUUUUUUUGGGGGGGGGGAGUAGAGGGGAUGCCCUUGGCACGAGGAAAUUCCCAGGCCAGGGAUCAAACUCGCAUGACAGCAGUGACUUGAGCCACAGCACUGACAAUGCCAGAUCCUUAACCUGCUGAGCCACCAGGGAACUCGUCCCCUACUUCUUUCCGCCCCAAAGUUGGGAUUACAAGAAUCCCUUUUCCAUGUGUCGUAUAUUCCACUCCAUACCCAUUCCCAGCUGAUUUGCCUCUCCAUCCUCUGAUGAAUCCUUGCCCAUAAUUUGUAUUGCUUCCAGCCUCUGGAACACAAGCCACCUGGCACUGGUCCUUCUGGAUGGGAUCCAGGGAGCUCUGUUCUUCCGUUCAACAAAUAUAAAUGCCAACGACAUUCAGGACAGUUUGCUGAAUUCCAAAAUCUACAGUCAGGGUUCCUAUGCUCAAGAUACCUAACAUUCACCUUGGUGUUUGAAGAUUCCCCAAGAUGUGGGUUUGGGAAAUAGACGAAAGAAGAGGCGCACGAUCCCUGCGAUGGACCCAAACCAAAACCAAAUUAAUGAAACUUGAUCUGUAGAUGUGGGAUCUUUGUCUUUUAAUAUGUGAGCCUGUCCGAACACGUGUAAAUGAGGAUUAACAUGGAAUCAGAAGAAAACUUGGGAGUUCUCUAAUCGCCUAGUGGGUAAAGGCUCCUGCCUUUUCACUGCUGUGGCUCUGAUUGCUCCUGUGGCACAGGUUUGAGCCCUGGCCCAGAAACCUCCACAUACUGUGGGUUCAGCAGAAGAGAAAAAUAAAUAAGAGCAAACCUGAACUUUGCA
rnacentral:lncRNA from 1 species